rnacentral:rRNA from 1 species
CACCGGCAGCUCUAGUGGUAGCCAUUUUUAUUGGGCCUAAAGCGUUCGUAGCCGGUUUGAUAAGUCUCUGGUGAAAUCCUGUAGCUUAACUGUGGGAAUUGCUGGAGAUACUAUUAGACUUGAGGUCGGGAGAGGUUAGCGGUACUCCCAGGGUAGGGGUGAAAUCCUGUAAUCCUGGGAGGACCACCUGUGGCGAAGGCGGCUAACUGGAACGAACCUGACGGUGAGGGACGAAAGCCAGGGGCGCGAA